rnacentral:rRNA from 1 species
UACGUAGGGGGCUAGCGUUGUCCGGAAUCAUUGGGCGUAAAGCGCGUGUAGGCGGUCCGGUAAGUCCGCUGUGAAAGUCGGGGGGCUCAACCCUCGGAUGCCGGUGGAUACUGUCGGGCUUGAGUACGGAAGAGGCGAGUGGAAUUCCUGGUGUAGCGGUGAAAUGCGCAGAUAUCAGGAGGAACACCAAUAGCGAAGGCAGCUCGCUGGGACGGUAACUGACGCUGGAGGCGCGAAAGCGUGGGAGCGAA